UACCUCAAAAAACCACAACAGUCUGUUUCAUCCGUAUAGGGAUCAUCAGGUGGUUGAUUCCUAUACGGAUGAAACAGAUGAUUCCUAUACGGAUGAAACAGACUGUUGUGGUUUUU